CGUCGCGCGUCGCUGCUCACGUCACAAAAGGGCUGUUCAACAACGUCACUCUGAUUGCACAAAUGUUUCAUUGUAUCUUUAUGUUUUGAUGUAAAUAAAAAGAUUACUGAAGCGAAAUGUCUGAACUCCGAUGAAACACGAGGCUCAAAGGCUUCUCUGAGGUUUGAUCUUGAACUUGAUUUCAUAUUGUGCCUCUUAUCAUUGAUCUCGACUUUCAGCUUGGUUUGUAAACACGGGUGUGCCACUCAGAUUCACAUUUGAACAAGCGAUUUCACAAUCAGCAGUGUUUGAAUCUCGUGAUCAUGUGGUCUUGAAGCACUACGGCUCUAUCUGAUGGUGUUUUGGUGGACCUGAAGGUCUUCUGAUGGAGCGGGUGACGGGUAUCCGCUGGUAUGCCGCCCUGCGCUCUGGUUUUCCCAUACUCACCUGGCUCCCCAGGUAUAACCUGACCUGGCUGAAGAUGGACCUGAUCGCCGGUCUGACGGUGGGUUUGACAGCGGUUCCCCAGGCCCUGGCCUAUGCAGAAGUGGCUGGUUUACCUGUGCAGUACGGCUUGUAUUCUGCGUUUAUGGGUGGUUUCAUCUACUGUGUGUUUGGCACAUCUAAAGACAUCACGCUGGGCCCGACGGCCAUCAUGUCUCUGCUGUGUGCGGAGUAUAUCGGUGGAGAUCCUGUGUUUGCGGUGGUGCUCACACUGCUGUGCGGCAUCAUCCAGGCGGGAAUGGCUCUACUGAGGCUGGGUUUCCUCUUGGACUUCAUCUCACAUCCAGUGAUUAAAGGCUUCACGUGUGCGGCGGCCGUCACCAUCGGCUUCGGCCAGCUCAAGAAUAUUCUGGGUCUGAAGGAGAUCCCGCAGCAGUUCUUCUUACAGGUUUACUACACCUUCCACAAGAUCCCCGAGGCCCGAGUUGGAGAUGUGAUUCUGGGUCUGUGCUGUCUGAUCUUCCUGGUCACGUUGACGCUGAUGAAGAACUCUCUGGGUUCGUCUGAAGACGAGGCUCCUCUCCUCGUCCGAUCUGCCCGGAGGCUGGUGUGGAGUUUAGCCACUAUCCGGAACGCUCUGGUCGUCGUCGUAGCGACGGGUGUUGCGUAUUCCGCUGAGGUCACAGGUCACCAUUGCUUCAGUCUCACUGGAAAAACCGCCCAAGGUCUGCCUCCGUUCAAAGCCCCGCCCCUUUCAGAAACAGUAGCCAAUGGCAUGGUGAUUACUUUCAGCGACAUUGUACAGGACUUGGGCGGCGGUCUGGCUGUCAUUCCUUUAAUGGGCGUCUUAGAGAGCAUCGCUAUUGCAAAGGCUUUCAGCAGCAAGAAUAACUACCGGAUCGAUGCCAACCAAGAGCUCUUUGCCAUCGGUCUCACAAACAUCAUGGGCUCGUUCGUGUCGGCGUAUCCCGUCACGGGAAGCUUCGGAAGAACCGCUGUGAACUCUCAAACCGGAGUGUGUUCACCUGCUGGAGGGAUCGUCACAGGUGUUAUAGUGCUGCUGUCGCUGGCGUUCCUCAUGCCGCUCUUCUUCUACAUCCCUAAAGCGUCCCUGGCGGCCGUCAUCAUCUGCGCCGUCAGUCCCAUGAUAGACUUCAGAGUGCCAGUCCAGCUCUGGAGAGUCAAGAAUCUGGCUGUUUCCCUCAGGACUCGAUCUGCUGCCCUUCUUGGUGACGUUUGGGGUCAGUUUCUGGGAGGUGCAGUAUGGCAUUGUGGGAGGUGUUGUUGUUUCUGGUUUCAUGCUGCUGUACGUCGUGGCCAGACCCAAAGUGAAAGUUUGUGUCUGUGUCCAGGUGUCGGAUCACGGCGUGCUGCUUCUGGAGCUGGACAGUGGGCUGAACUUCCCCGUGACGGAGCAUCUGAGCAGACUCGUGUACAAACACGCGCUUCAUGUGUCUCCUCCGCGCUGUCUGCUUCUGGACUGUGCUCACGUCAGCUCUAUAGACUUCACUGUCGUCCAUGAACUGACUGAACUGCUCAAACAGUUUGAGCUGAGGGGUGUAUCAAUGAUCUUCACUGGACUCAAGCCGUCAGUACUGAAGGUGUUGUUGUCGGCUGAUCUUCCUGGUUUCAGACAUACAGACAGAGUAGACCAGGCUUUGCAGCUUCUGACCAGUAUUAAUCACUAACAGCCAAUCACAAACAAGAACAGAUUGUGUGGCUUUCAGCCAAUCAGCAUCUGGAAACUUCAAACCCUCUAAUGAUUGGUCACUUGAAAAGUUCUGCGCACACCUUCGACCAAUCAGCACUCAGGAAGAGAGACUCUGAUAAAAACUGAUGGAGAGCAAAGUUACAUGAUGUAUGUGUACAUGACGACCAAAUAAUGCUUUUGACUGUGUUUUUUGUAUUCUGUUUUAAACUCCGAAUCUCAGGUGAGAUGAUGUCUUUUUAUGAACAUGCAUUUCUUCUUGACACUAGAAAGAGUCAAAUCUUUAGUUUUUUAGGGUUAAAAAGCACUACCAAUCUGACAGGUCUCACAAAGCCUAAAAUAUAUUGCAUUACUCAUGAUAAUUUCUCUGUAGUUUACAGUAGUACUUUUAUAUGUGUAGUGUGUUUACAUUAUUAUUAUUAUCUUUUUUUUGAUGAAACUAAAUUUCAUUAGGACACAGAUGUCUGCACUCUUUUGGACCGUCAAAGACGAAACUGAAAUGUCUCUUUUGGUAUUAAACUGAUAUGAUUCACAAUUG